rnacentral:rRNA from 1 species
GACGAACGCUGGCGGCGUGCUUAACACAUGCAAGUCGAACGGAAAGGCCCUGCUUUUGUGGGGUGCUCGAGUGGCGAACGGGUGAGUAACACGUGAGUAACCUGCCCUGGACUUUGGGAUAACUUCAGGAAACUUGGGCUAAUACCGGAUAGGAGCUCCUGCUGCAUGGUGGGGGUUGGAAAGUUUCGGCGGUUGGGGAUGGACUCGCGGCUUAUCAGCUUGUUGGUGGGGUAGUGGCUUACCAAGGCUUUGACGGGUAGCCGGCCUGAGAGGGUGACCGGCCACAUUGGGACUGAGAUACGGCCCAGACUCCUACGGGAGGCAGCAGUGGGGAAUAUUGCACAAUGGGCGGAAGCCUGAUGCAGCAACGCCGCGUGCGGGAUGACGGCCUUCGGGUUGUAAACCGCUUUCGCCUGUGACGAAGCGUGAGUGACGGUAAUGGGUAAAGAAGCACCGGCUAACUACGUG